UACAGAGGGUGCGAGCGUUAAUCGGAAUUACUGGGCGUAAAGCGCACGUAGGCGGCUUGGCAAGUCGGGUGUGAAAUCCCCGGGCUCAACCUGGGAACUGCAUUCGAGACUGCCUUGCUAGAGUAUGGGAGAGGGAAGUGGAAUUUCCGGUGUAGCGGUGAAAUGCGUAGAUAUCGGAAGGAACAUCAGUGGCGAAGGCGACUUCCUGGACCAAUACUGACACUCAGGUGCGAAAGCGUGGGGAGCAAACAGG
rnacentral:rRNA from 1 species